rnacentral:rRNA from 1 species
UACGAAGGGGGCGAGCGUUGUUCGGAAUCACUGGGCGUAAAGGGCGCGUAGGCGGCCCUCUUAGUCGCGUGUGAAAGCCCCGGGCUCAACCUGGGAACGGCGCGCGAAACGGGAGGGCUGGAGUUCGGGAGAGGAGAGUGGAAUUCCCAGUGUAGAGGUGAAAUUCGUAGAUAUUCGGAAGAACACCAGUGGCGAAGGCGGCUCACUGGUCCGGUACUGACGCUGAGGUGCGAAAGCGUGGGGAGCAAACAGG